UACGUAGGGUGCGAGCGUUGUCCGGAUUUAUUGGGCGUAAAGAGCUCGUAGGUGGUUCGGUAAGUCGGAUGUGAAAUCUCCAGGCUCAACCUGGAGGGGUCAUUCGAUACUGCCGUGACUAGAGGUCGGUAGGGGAGUGUGGAAUUCCUGGUGGAGCGGUGAAAUGCGCAGAUAUCAGGAGGAACACCCGUAGCGAAGGCGGCACUCUGGGCCGAUACUGACACUGAGGAGCGAAAGCGUGGGGAGCGAACAGG
rnacentral:rRNA from 1 species